CGGGAUGUAGCGCAGUCAGGUAGCGUACUUCGUUCGGGACGAAGGGGUCGCGAGUUCAAAUCUCGCCAUCCCGA
rnacentral:tRNA from 1 species